rnacentral:rRNA from 1 species
AGUUUGAUCCUGGCUCAGGAUGAACGCUAGCGGCAGGCCUAAUACAUGCAAGUCGAACGGUAAGCUUUGUAGCAAUAUGAAGCCUAGAGUGACGUAAGGGUGCGUAACACGUAUGCAAUCUACCCUCAACAGGAGUAUAGCUCGGGGAAACUCGGAUUAACACUCCAUAAUAUUACGAAGUGGCAUCACUUUGUGAUUAAAACUGCGGUGGUUGAGGAUGAGCAUGCGUCUGAUUAGUUAGUUGGUGAGGUAACGGCUCACCAAGACGAUGAUCAGUAGGGGAACUGAGAGGUUGAUCCCCCACACUGGCACUGAGAUACGGGCCAGACUCCUACGGGAGGCAGCAGUAGGGAAUAUUGGUCAAUGGGUGAGAGCCUGAACCAGCCAUGCCGCGUGCAGGAAGACGGCCUUCUGGGUUGUAAACUGCUUUUAUCUGGGGAUAAAAAGCCCAUGCGUGGGACAUUGAAGGUACCAGAUGAAUAAGCACCGGCUAACUACGUGCCAGCAGCCGCGGUAAUACGUAGGGUGCAAGCGUUGUCCGGAUUUAUUGGGUUUAAAGGGUGCGUAGGCGGUCUAUUAAGUCAGUGGUGAAAUCCAACAGCUCAACUGUUGAUGUGCCAAUGAUACUGAUGGACUUGAGUACAGACGAGGUAGGCGGAAUUGACAGUGUAGCGGUGAAAUGCAUAGAUAUUGUCAAGAACACCGAUAGCGAAGGCAGCUUGCUAGCCUGUAACUGACGCUGAGGCACGAAAGUAUGGGGAUCAAACAGGAUUAGAUACCCUGGUAGUCCAUACUGUAAACGAUGAUUACUCGAUGUUGGCGAUACACAGUCAGCGUCUUAGCGAAAGCGAUAAGUAAUCCACCUGGGGAGUACGCCGGCAACGGUGAAACUCAAAGGAAUGAC